rnacentral:tRNA from 1 species
GCACGCUGUACGGCGGUUCCGGAACCGUCCGCAGCGGUUCGGACAAGGCGGUCGAGGUCACGGUGCCGGCGCUGUCCAGCAUCGUGCUCC